rnacentral:rRNA from 1 species
AACGAACGCUGGCGGCAGGCUUAACACAUGCAAGUCGAGCGCCCCGCGAGGGGAGCGGCAGACGGGUGAGUAACGCGUGGGAAUCUACCCAUCUCUACGGAAUAACGCAUGGAAACGUGUGCUAAUACCGUAUACGUCCUUCGGGAGAAAGAUUUAUCGGAGAUGGAUGAGCCCGCGUUGGAUUAGCUAGUUGGUGGGGUAAAGGCCUACCAAGGCGACGAUCCAUAGCUGGUCUGAGAGGAUGAUCAGCCACACUGGGACUGAGACACGGCCCAGACUCCUACGGGAGGCAGCAGUGGGGAAUAUUGGACAAUGGGCGCAAGCUUGAUCCAGCCAUGCCGCGUGAGUGAUGAAGGCCCUAGGGUUGUAAAGCUCUUUCACCGGUGGAGAUAAUGACGGUAACCGGAGAAGAAGCCCCGGCUAACUUCGUGCCAGCCGCCGCCGUAAUAC